rnacentral:rRNA from 1 species
GAUGAACGCUGGCGGCGUGCCUAAUACAUGCAAGUCGAGCGAACAGACGAGGAGCUUGCUCCUCUGACGUUAGCGGCGGACGGGUGGGUAACACGUGGAUAACCUACCUAUAAGACUGGGAUAACUUCGGGAAACCGGAGCUAAUACCGGAUAAUAUAUUGAACCGCAUGGUUCAAUAGUGAAAGACGGUUUUGCUGUCACUUAUAGAUGGAUCCGCGCCGCAUUAGCUAGUUGGUAAGGUAACGGCUUACCAAGGCAACGAUGCGUAGCCGACCUGAGAGGGUGAUCGGCCACACUGGAACUGCGACACGGUCCAGACUCCUACGGGAGGCAGCAGUAGGGAAUCUUCCGCAAUGGGCGAAAGCCUGACGGAGCAACGCCGCGUGAGUGAUGAAGGUCUUCGGAUCGUAAAACUCUGUUAUUAGGGAAGAACAAAUGUGUAAGUAACUAUGCACGUCUUGACGGUACCUAAUCAGAAAGCCACGGCUAACUACGUG